GCCCCACUCAGCCCAGCAGCGGGAUGAACGGGACCCCGACAGGCAGCAGUGUGCCAUUAGUUGCCAACCCCUGUCCUACACCCACUGAGGUCGGUGAUAAAUCUCAAUUGACUUCUGCGCAUCUCCCGGAAGUGGCCGGCAUGUCCCUGCAGCCCCUGGACGCAGGGGUGAUCCACAGCUUCCAUUGGACAGGAACUGCAGCCAAUAGAAGCUGUGGGGGCAGCGUCUGCAGGCACGGGUGUGACAGUGUAUCCCAUAAGUCUUCAUGGGAAUAUGCUUAUGAAUAUAUAUAUGAUAUAACUGGAAUAUGUUUUAUGCUACAUAUGCCAUGUAACACAUCUAUGUUAUGAUCUACGGAAUACAUUCCUCCUAUUUGUAUGCAUGUAUCAUUUUUGUACUUGAAGUUAGUAAUAUGGCUGUAUACUUGUUUGAUUUCUAUUGAAAAAGGAAUGUGCAAAUUAAAUGCCCAAUCAAGAACCACUUAAGCCAGCAAUGAACUUUAAGAUGCCAAUCCACAUCGGAGCUUUCCCAGGAAUGUGGCUUGACUGGUUAGAAACUCAAUCAUGCGACUUGCCCAUGUGACUCCAUCUUGGAGCUGGACUUUGCAUAGGAGAGAGGAGGGGGGUCUCCCCCCACAAGAGAAAGUCUAUUUAAACUUGUGGGAGACCCCUCCAUUUGGUCUUCAGCUGGCUAAAGAGAGAGCCUCUCCACCCCAAGGAUACCUGAAAGAGACUGGAACAAAGUGAACACAACUCCUGAAGGAAGAGCAGCUUUUGCAUUAAUUCUACAAUCACAUACUGCUGUAUAAAUCAAGUGCAAAUCCACGGAUGUAAAACCAAUGUAAUGGAAACUGUGUCUGAACCAUGUGGAAUCUUCCCAGGAUCAGAUCUGUAAAUCAAGAAUGCAAAUCAAGGAAGGUUUUUUG